rnacentral:lncRNA from 1 species
CACACAACCUACAAAUUGGUGGAUGGGUAGGUAUCCUCUGGUUUGAUCCCAGCAAGAGGAAGUGUUCUCUUCUCUUUAUCAACCAAAGGCACUUUCUUCUCUCAUGGAUGGAUGGGACUCCAUCAAUUUAGUAUCAGUUUAGGUGUUAGUAUGCUGUUGAUGCUUCUAUUGAUGCCAUGCUUUUUGUCUUGUCAUGUGCUGAUAUUAACUGGCAGCAUCAGCUCCCAUGAUUGCUUGCUUGCUUGCUUACUCUAUAACCUGUACUGCUAAAACAUGUUAUCCUACUCCAUGAUGCUAUAUCAUUUGCAAAUACUCCUGGACAUCAGCUCCCAUGAUGUUGCAUUUGCUAUAAUCUGUACUGCUAAAAGAGGAGUGUAAACUGGAGUAAUUUUUUCAGCCAUUAUCUUUGUUUUCUUUUGGGCGGAUGCUCUCCACUGGAGUACAGCUGGGUACUGCAUCUCUUUUUGCAUUCCUUUUUCAGUCAGUGCUUGAACAUUUUUUUAAAGAUGAAUUGGAAUACUCCUGGACAGCAAUACAUGGAGUAUAGCUGUAACUUCUUGCAGUAUAGCUGUAGCAGUCCAUUAGGAGUAGUUUUGCAUCAGUAGCAUUAGGAGUAACUUCUUGCAGAAACUCUUUCACACAUAUUGUCAUGCAUCAGUAGCAUGUUUGCCUGUUUUGGAGUAGCGAUUAAUUACUUGUAAUGUUUUUCUUGUCUGAGCACACACACUAAAUGAAACUUUUUCAGAUGAUUAUUAUUAACUGAAAAUGUUAUGUACAUGAAUAUAGUCUAUCUACAGCUAGUUACAUAUGUGGUGCAAUUGUGUAGAACUACUAGUACUAUGCUUGAGAUUUGAUCAUGAAUAUAGUGUAUCUGCAAUUGUACAUGAAUAUAGUGUAUCUGCAGUACUGUAAUAUGCUUGAGACUUGAUCCAAACCAUAUUAAUUGUUGUUAGUGAUUUUAUUAUCUACUUUUUGCAUCAUCUGAACAUAUUUUGCUGCUGCAUAGUUUCUCACUCAUGAUUGAUCUACUGCCAGGUGAAUGAGGUUUUCAAAUAUUGAAGGAGGAGGACAAUAUGAACUUCUGUUCUGUCUUAUCAUCUAAACUUCUGUUUUAAUUUUCUUUGUUGUAGAAUAGUUUUGUUUGGCACUUACUAUUCCUGGGAUGUAAAGAUAUGUAUUGCUAGAAUGAAUGGUUGUAAUAUAAGCAAUAUUAUAUUUUGGGCUCCUAUAACAUUGCACGUUGCUUUGAAAAUGUAUCAGAACUGGGCUAGGCCCAAGAUAGCUUGUGGUGUGAUAUGUUGUAAUGUCAAUGGCAUUAUAUUUUUU